rnacentral:rRNA from 1 species
GACGAACGCUGGCGGCGUGCCUAAUACAUGCAAGUAGAACGCUGAAGAGAGGAGCUUGCUCUUCUUGGAUGAGUUGCGAACGGGUGAGUAACGCGUAGGUAACCUGCCUUGUAGCGGGGGAUAACUAUUGGAAACGAUAGCUAAUACCGCAUAACAAUGGAUGACACAUGUCAUUUAUUUGAAAGGGGCAAUUGCUCCACUACAAGAUGGACCUGCGUUGUAUUAGCUAGUAGGUGAGGUAAUGGCUCACCUAGGCGACGAUACAUAGCCGACCUGAGAGGGUGAUCGGCCAAACUGGGAAUGAGACACGGCCCAGACUCCUACGGGAGGCAGCAGUAGGGAAUCUUCGGCAAUGGGGGCAACCCUGACCGAGCAACGCCGCGUGAGUGAAGAAGGGUUUCGGAUCGUAAAGCUCUGUUGUAAGUCAAGAACGGGUGUGAGAGUGGAAAGUUCACACUGUGACGGUAGCUUACCAGAAAGGGACGGCUAACUACGUG